rnacentral:rRNA from 1 species
GUGCCAGACUCCUACGGGAGGCAGCAGUGGGGAAUAUUGCACAAUGGGGGGAACCCUGAUGCAGCGACGCCGCGUGGGUGAAGGAGUCCUUCGGUACGUAAAGCCCUAUCAGCAGGAAAGAAAAUGACGGUACCUGACUAAGAAGCCCCGGCUAACUACGUGCCAGCAGCCGCGGUAAUACGUAGGGGGCAAGCGUUAUCCGGAUUUACUGGGUGUAAAGGGAGCGUAGACGGCAGUGCAAGUCCGGAGUGAAAGCCCGGGGCUCAACCCUGGGACUGCUCUGGAAACUGUAAAGCUGGAGUGCGGGAGGGGCAGGCGGAAUUCCUGGUGUAGCGGUGAAAUGCGUAGAUAUUAGGAGGAACACCAGUGGCGAAGGCGGCUUACUGGACUGUAACUGACGUUGAGGCUCGAAAGCGUGGGGAGCAAACAGGAUUAGAUACCCCUGUAA